UACGUAGGGGGGCAAGCGUUGUCCGGAUUUAUUGGGCGUAAAGAGCGUGUAGGCGGCCGUGCAGGUCAGCUGUGAAAACUCGAGGCUCAACCUCGAGACGUCGGUUGAAACCGCUUGGCUAGAGUCCGGAAGAGGAGAGUGGAAUUCCCGGUGUAGCGGUGAAAUGCGCAGAUAUCGGGAAGAACACCCGUGGCGAAGGCGGCUCUCUGGGACGGUACUGACGCUGAGACGCGAAAGCGUGGGGAGCGAACAGG
rnacentral:rRNA from 1 species